rnacentral:rRNA from 1 species
UACGGGGGGAGCAAGCGUUGUUCGGAUUUACUGGGCGUAAAGGGCGCGUAGGCGGUCGUGACAAGUCACUUGUGAAAUCUCCGGGCUUAACUCGGAACGGUCAAGUGAUACUGUCGGACUAGAGUACAGAAGGGGCAACUGGAAUUCUCGGUGUAGCGGUGAAAUGCGUAGAUAUCAGGAGGAACACCGAUGGCGAAGGCAGGUCUCUGGGCUGACACUGACGCUCAUGCACGAAAGCGUGGGGAGCAAACAGG